rnacentral:rRNA from 1 species
AUUGAACGCUGGCGGCAGGCCUAACACAUGCAAGUCGAACGGUAACAGGGCUAGGGGUGCCGACUAGUGGCGAAGGGGGGAGGAAGGCAGCGGAACGUGCCGGAUCGUGGGGGAUAAGGGGGGGAAAGCUAGGCUAAUACCGCAUACGAUCGACGGCUAGAAGCAGGGGACAGCAGGGCCUCGUGGGGCCUGGGGGGCCGAUGUCAGAUUAGGUAGUUGGAGGGAGAAAGGGGGACCAAGCCGACGAUCUGUAGCUGGUCUGAGAGGAUGAUCAGCCACACUGGAACUGAGACACGGCCCAGACUCCUACGGGAGGCAGCAGUGGGGAAUUUUGGACAAUGGGCGCAAGCCUGAUCCAGCCAUGCCGCGUGCAGGAAGAAGGCCUUCGGGUUGUAAACUGCUUUUGUACGGAACGAAAAGCCUUCUUUUAAUACAGGAGGGUCAUGACGGUACCGUAAGAAUAAGCACCGGCUAACUACGUG